GAUGAAGAACGUAGCGAAAUGCGAUAAGUAAUGUGAAUUGCAGAAUUCAGUGAAUCAUCGAAUCUUUGAACGCACCUUGCGCCCUUUGGCUAUUCCGAAGGGCAUGCCUGUUUGAGUAUCAUGAACACCUCAACUCUCAUGGCUUGCCAUGAUGAGCUUGGACUUUUGGGGGUCUUGCUGGCCUGUGGUCAGCUCCUCUCAAAUGAAUUAGCCUGCCAGUGUUUGGUGGCAUCACAGGUGUGAUAACUAUCUACGCUUGUGGUUUUCCACCAGGUAACCUUCAGCAGUGGAGGUUCGCUGGAGCUCACAGAUGUGUCUCUCCUCAGUGAGGACAGCUCUUUGAAUGUUUGAUCUCAAAUCAGGUAGGACUACCCGCUGAACUUAAGCAUAUCAAUAAGCGGAGGA
rnacentral:misc_RNA from 1 species